CAUUGCCCCAGUUGCAGUGCUGGUCACAACUGCCACUCAGUUCUGAUUCCUGGCCUGGGGAACACGAUAUGCAAUGGGACAGCCAAAAAAGAAAAAAAAAAAAAGGUAAUUCCAUUGUCUCUGGCUUUCAUAACUUCAGACAAGAAGUCUGCAGUCACACUUUACCUUUGUUUUUCUGUGCAUACUGCUUUUUCCCUUGCUGCUUUUAAGAUUUUUCUCUUUAUCACUGGUUUUCAGCAACUUGAUUACAAUACAGUUUCCUAUGAAUUUUUGUAUAUGUUGGUUUAAUCCUGCUUGGGAUUCACUGAGCUUCUUGGAUCUCUGUCCUAGCAUUUUUACCAAAUUUAGAAAAGUGUUCACCAUUGUCUUAGUAUUAUUAUUUCUUUUUUCUUUCUUUUUUUUUGCCAUGCCCACAGUAUGCAGAAAUUCCUGGGCCAGGGAUAGAAUACAUGCCACAGCAGUGGCCUAAGCCACAGCAGUGACAAUGCCAGAUCCUUAACUGCUAGGCCACCAGAAAACUCUAAGCAUCAUUUCUUAGAUGCUUAGUAUUCCAAAAAGAUCUAACAUUUUUGGAUCUCCUUUUCUGCAUGACUCCCUCUUGGAGUGGGUUAUUCCUCAUACCUUUCAGCUGCCUCAGCCUCCCUGACCUACAAUCUCUCCUCUACUCUAUGAGACCACUGUGCUGUAUUUGGGACCCCCCAUCCCCAUCCAGUCCCCCACUCCAUGACUCAGAAUAUGCUUCCAAAUAAAAACCUAAGUGAUGAAAGAGCUCAUCUCAUGUGUCUCUCUCCCCUCAGAGACCACAAUCCUGUACUAGCUCUAGUCCAGUAUCAGAGAAUAGCUGUUUCAUACACUGUAUAUAGUUUCUAGUUAGUUACAGUGGCAAGAUAAAUUGGCCCCUAUCACUUCAUCAUGGAUUAAAACAGAAGUCCAUUUAUGCUUUUUUUUUUUCUUUUAUGGCUGUACCCACAGCAUAUGGAAGUUCCCGGGCCUGGGAUCAAAUCUGCGGUAAUGCAAGAUCCUUAACCAAUUGGACCAGGUUGGAGAUUAGACGCACACCACUGAGAGACAACAAUGGAUCCCUAACUCACUGCACCACAGUGGGAACGCCUUAUUUAUGCUCUUUUGAAAAUCCAUUACUGACAACUUUGGGGAGGCAGUGGAAAGUAAACAUGUGUUCAAUCUACCACAUUUAGCUGCAAAUACACUUCAAUUUUUAAAAGUGUAAAUAAAAUAUAGUAGUUUUUAAAUAAUUAUCCCAAAACAGUGAGAGGGCUAAAAACUGUUUUCAACUUUUCACCAAAAUGUCUAUAUAGUCAGUUCAGUGAGAACUGACUUGAGCCAUAAUGUCAGGUUCCACAUCUAACUGUUUUCUUUACUUCCUUUCAGACAGAUCCCUUGAUAAAAGAAUUUUGCCUGGACUUGUUUGGCUUUCUCUCCAAACCCAAUAUUUAUCAUUAACUCAGCUUAAGCUGGUUGGUCAAGUGUCUUCACAGUAAUAUGGCUUGAUUUUGUGAUUUUGCUCUAAGAAGUAUAACUCUGAACAAUACUUUUGAGUUUCAGUCUCCUCUUUGCCUUUACUGACAAAAUUAAUCUGUUUCCUACACAAUAACAUGUCAUUUGACUUACCAGGGAGGUAACCAUACUUUGACUAAAAAUUGCGUCAAAGAAAAAAGUGUCACAAGAAACACUACCCUUAGGAGCCAUUAUAACAAAGUCCCAUGAAGUCCAAUUUUCAAACAUUCAGCACUGUAUUUCUUAUUGGAAUGUCCCUUUUUCAGCUACUGUACCAAAUCAACACUCUUACAGAUUACUCUGUCCCAGCUCACACAUAUUCAUGGUGUCCACUGACACUGUGGCCCAAUUCAGCAUUGACACUUACAUAAUUAUUCUGUACUGCACUACUUACAAUACUAUCUUCAUCAUUAAUUUUACUCUUUGAUGAACUACUUCUGAAUCACAAGAAAUUUAAUGCAGCACAAAAGUAACAACAAAGAUGUAGUUUUACAACUAUCCUGACAUGAAACACAUUAUCCAAAAUAAUCUAUAACUGAUAACUGAAAUUAGCUCUGAUGAACUGACAGAUACAGCCCUUUCAGUGAACAAACAACUAUUAAGAAGGUAAUAGGGAGUUCCCAUUGUGGCUCAGUGGGUGAUGAAUCCAACUAGGAACCACGAGGUUGUGGGUUCAAUCCCUGGCCUUGCUCAGUGGGUUAAGGAUCUGCGUUGCGUGAGCUGUG
rnacentral:lncRNA from 1 species